GACGAACGCUGGCGGCGUGCUUAACACAUGCAAGUCGAACGGAAAGGCCCCCUUGUGGGGUACUCGAGUGGCGAACGGGUGAGUAACACGGGAGUAACCUACCCUUGACUUUGGGAUAACUUCAGGAAACUGGGGCUAAUACCGGAUAGGAGCUCCUGCUGCAUGGUGGGGGUUGGAAAGUUUCGGCGGUUGGGGAUGGACUCGCGGCCUAUCAGCUUGUUGGUGGGGUAGUGGCUCACCAAGGCUUUGAUGGGUAGCCGGCCUGGGAGGGUGACCGGCCACAUUGGGACUGAGAUACGGCCCAGACGCCUACGGGAGGCAGCAGUGGGGAAUAUUGCAGAAAGGGCGGAAGCCUGAGGCAGCAACGCCGCGUGCGGGAGGACGGCCUUCGGGUUGUAAACCGCUUUCGCCUGUGACGAAGCGUUAGUGACGGUAAUGGGUAAAGAAGCACCGGCUAACUACGUG
rnacentral:rRNA from 1 species